rnacentral:rRNA from 1 species
CGGCAGUCAGAAUUAUUGUGCGUAAGCGAGCGCAGGCGGUUUCUUAAGUCUGAUGUGAAAGCCCCGCGGCUCAACCGGGGAGGGCAUUGGAAACUGGGAGACUUGAGUGCAGAAGAGGAGAGUGGAAUUCCAUGUGUAGCGGUGAAAUGCGUAGAUAUAUGGAGGAACACCAGUGGCGAAGGCGGCUCUCUGGUCUGUAACUGACGCUGAGGCUCGAAAGCGUGGGGAGCAAACAGGAUUAGAUACCCCGGUAGUCC